rnacentral:rRNA from 1 species
AGAGUUUGAUCAUGGCUCAGAGCGAACGCUGGCGGCAGGCCUAACACAUGCAAGUCGAGCGCCCCGCAAGGGGAGCGGCAGACGGGAGAGUAACACGUGGGAACGUACCCUUCAGUUCGGAACAACCCAGGGAAACUUGGGCUGAUACCGGAUACGUCCGUAAGGAGAAAGAUUUAUCGCUGAAGGAUCGGCCCGCGUCUGAUUAGCUAGUUGGUGAGGUAAUGGCUCACCAAGGCGACGAUCAGUAGCUGGUCUGAGAGGAUGAUCAGCCUCACUGGGACUGAGACACGGCCCAGACUCCUACGGGAGGCAGCAGUGGGGAAUAUUGGACAAUGGGCGCAAGCCUGAUCCAGCCAUGCCGCGUGGAUGAUGACGGCCCUAGGGUUGUAAAGUCCUUUCGGCGGGGAAGAUAAUGACGGUACCCGCAGAAGAAGCCCCGGCUAACUUCGUGCCAGCAGCCGCGGUAAUACGAAGGGGGCUAGCGUUGCUCGGAAUCACUGGGCGUAAAGCGCACGUAGGCGGCUUUUUAAGUCAGGGGUGAAAUCCUGGAGCUCAACUCCAGAACUGCCUUUGAUACUGAGAAGCUUGAGUCCGGGAGAGGUGAGUGGAACUGCGAGUGUAGAGGUGAAAUUCGUAGAUAUUCGCAAGAACACCAGUGGCGAAGGCGGCUCACUGGCCCGGUACUGACGCUGAGGUGCGAAAGCGUGGGGAGCAAACAGGAUUAGAUACCCCCGUAGUCC